UACGUAGGGUGCAAGCGUUAAUCGGAAUUACUGGGCGUAAAGCGUGCGCAGGCGGUUUUGUAAGUUUGUCGUGAAAUCCCCCGGGCUCAACCUGGGAAUGGCGAUGAAGACUGCAAGGCUAGAAUCUGGCAGAGGGGGGUAGAAUUCCACGUGUAGCAGUGAAAUGCGUAGAGAUGUGGAGGAACACCGAUGGCGAAGGCAGCCCCCUGGGUCAAGAUUGACGCUCAUGCACGAAAGGCGUGGGGAGCAA
rnacentral:rRNA from 1 species